CAGGGAGCUGUGAGGCUGGGGAGCUGUGAAGCUAGAUGCUGUGAGGCUAGGUAGUGUCAGGGAGCUGUGAGACUCGGUAGUGUCAGGGAGCUGUGAAGCUAGAUACUGUCAGGGAGCUGUGAGUCUAGGUAGUGUCAGGGAGCUGUGAGUCUAGGUAGUGUCAGGGAGCUGUGAGUCUAGGUAGUGUCAGGGAGCUGUGAGUCUAGGUAGUGUCAGGGAGCUGUGAGUCUAGGUAGUGUCAGGGAGCUGUGAGUCUAGGUAGUGUCAGGGAGCUGUGAGUCUAGGUAGUGUCAGGGAGCUGUGAGUCUAGGUAGUGUCAGGUUAAGACCAGUGUUAGCAGGCUAGGUAGUCUCAGGGGUUAAGACCAGUGUUAGCAGGCUAGGUAGUCUCAGGGGUAAGACCAGUGUUAGCAGGCUAGGUAGUGUCAGGUUGAGACCAGUGUUAGCAGGCUAGGUAGUGUCAGGUUGAGACCAGUGUUAGCAGGCUAGGUAGUCUCAGGGGUUAAGACCAGUGUUAGCAGGCUAGGUAGUGUCAGGUUGAGACCAGUGUUAGCAGGCUAGGUAGUGUCAGGUUGAGACCAGUGUUAGCAGGCUAGGUAGUGUCAGGUUGAGACCAGUGUUAGCAGGCUAGGUAGUAUCAGGUUGAGACCAGUGUUAGCAGGCUAGGUAGUCUCAGGUUGAGACCAGUGUUAGCAGGCUAGGUAGUGUCAGGUUGAGACCAGUGUUAGCAGGCUAGGUAGUGUCAGGUUGAGACCAGUGUUAGCAGGCUAGGUAGUGUCAGGUUGAGACCAGUGUUAGCAGGCUAGGUAGUAUCAGGUUGAGACCAGUGUUAGCAGGCUAGGUAGUGUCAGGUUGAGACCAGUGUUAGCAGGCUAGGUAGUAUCAGGUUGAGACCAGUGUUAGCAGGCUAGGUAGUGUCAGGUUGAGACCAGUGUUAGCAGGCUAGGUAGUCUCAGGGGUUAAGACCAGUGUUAGCAGGCUAGGUAGUAUCAGGUUGAGACCAGUGUUAGCAGGCUAGGUAGUGUCAGGUUGAGACCAGUGUUAGCAGGCUAGGUAGUGUCAGGUUGAGACCAGUGUUAGCAGGCUAGGUAGUCUCAGGGGUUAAGACCAGUGUAUGCAGGCUAGGUAGUGUCAGGGGUUAAGACCAGUGUUAGCAGGCUAGGUAGUAUCAGGUUGAGACCAGUGUUAGCAGGCUAGGUAGUGUCAGGUUGAGACCAGUGUUAGCAGGCUAGGUAGUGUCAGGUUGAGACCAGUGUUAGCAGGCUAGGUAGUGUCAGGUUGAGACCAGUGUUAGCAGGCUAGGUAGUGUCAGGUUGAGACCAGUGUUAGCAGGCUAGGUAGUCUCAGGGGUUAAGACCAGUGUUAGCAGGCUAGGUAGUAUCAGGUUGAGACCAGUGUUAGCAGGCUAGGUAGUGUCAGGUUGAGACCAGUGUUAGCAGGCUAGGUAGUGUCAGGUUGAGACCAGUGUUAGCAGGCUAGGUAGUCUCAGGGGUUAAGACCAGUGUUAGCAGGCUAGGUAGUGUCAGGUUGAGACCAGUGUUAGCAGGCUAGGUAGUGUCAGGUUGAGACCAGUGUUAGCAGGCUAGGUAGUGUCAGGUUGAGACCAGUGUUAGCAGGCUAGGUAGUGUCAGGUUGAGACCAGUGUUAGCAGGCUAGGUAGUGUCAGGUUGAGACCAGUGUUAGCAGGCUAGGUAGUGUCAGGUUGAGACCAGUGUUAGCAGGCUAGGUAGUGUCAGGUUGAGACCAGUGUUAGCAGGCUAGGUAGUGUCAGGUUGAGACCAGUGUUAGCAGGCUAGGUAGUGUCAGGUUGAGACCAGUGUCAGCAGGCUAGGUAGUGUCAGGUUGAGACCAGUGUUAGCAGGCUAGGUAGUCUCAGGGGUUAAGACCAGUGUUAGCAGGCUAGGUAGUCUCAGGGGUUGAGACCAGUGUUAGCAGGCUAGGUAGUCUCAGGGGUUGAGACCAGUGUUAGCAGGCUAGGUAGUGUCAGGUUGAGACCAGUGUUAGCAGGCUAGGUAGUGUCAGGUUGAGACCAGUGUUAGCAGGCUAGGUAGUGUCAGGUUGAGACCAGUGUUAGCAGGCUAGGUAGUGUCAGGUUGAGACCAGUGUUAGCAGGCUAGGUAGUGUCAGGUUGAGACCAGUGUUAGCAGGCUAGGUAGUGUCAGGUUGAGACCAGUGUUAGCAGGCUAGGUAGUGUCAGGUUGAGACCAGUGUUAGCAGGCUAGGUAGUGUCAGGUUGAGACCAGUGUUAGCAGGCUAGGUAGUCUCAGGGGUUAAGACCAGUGUUAGCAGGCUAGGUAGUUCCAUUGCUGUAGUGUCCUGGUCUCCGGAACUCGUCAUGUUUCUU